rnacentral:rRNA from 1 species
CCGAUGAGGUGGAAACGGACAGAGCUGGCGUAUCUGGCCUGCAUUCAGCCGCCGCGCGUCGGGCCCCGGUUUGCCGCACUCCAGAUUAGGAAGGUGGCUGGGCUGCUGGCGUGCUGGUGGUGCAUUUGCAGGUGGAGUGCGCCGAGGCGCUCGGCUCAGCGGCAUGAGCUCGGCUUUGAGGCCAACCGUGCAAGCGGUCUGGUACCCGGGUCGGGGGAGUGUUGUUUGGGCUGAGUGUUCGCGUUUGGGCACCGGUCUCGGGCCCGGGUGGGUGCCGAGCUGGCGGUCGACGGCGGUCGCAUGCGACACGUGUCAGCAGUCAGUUCGUUCCAGCUCGAGCUCUCGAGUGUCCGGCCUCAGUGUAAAAGCCGGUCAUCUGUCCGACCCGUCUUGAAACACGGACCAAGGAGUUUAGCGUGUGCGCGAGUCAUUGGGCGUUGAAAACCCAAAGGCGCAAUGAAAGUGAAGGUCUGCCUUGUGCAGCUGAUGUGUGAUCCUGGGCGCUGCGGUGCCCGGGCGCAACAUAGUCCCGUCCCGACUGCAUGCAGUGGGGCGGAGACAGAGCGUACGCGCUGAG